rnacentral:rRNA from 1 species
CAGCCGCCGCGGGAAUACGUAGGUGGCAAGCGUUGUCCGGAAUUAUUGGGCGUAAAGGGCUCGCAGGCGGUUUCUUAAGUCUGAUGUGAAAGCCCCCGGCUCAACCGGGGAGGGUCAUUGGAAACUGGGAAACUUGAGUGCAGAAGAGGAGAGUGGGAUUCCACGUGUAGCGGUGAAAUGCGUAGAGAUGUGGAGGAACACCAGUGGCGAAGGCGACUCUCUGGUCUGUAACUGACGCUGAGGAGCGAAAGCGUGGGGAGCGAACAGGAUUAGAUACCCGUGUAGUCCCUGUCUCUUAUAC